AGAAAGCAGCCACGUGCAGCCGACUGCACGGCCUGCUGUGUUAAUGGCUGGGAUGCACAGGGCUGCAGCGCUGGCGUUCUGCUGGAUCUGCUCUUCCUUCCCACAGUGACAGCGGAACGCGGCAGAAAGCGCAGCGAGGCGGCAGAGCAGCAAGGAGCUGACGUACAGAGCGCGGGCUGUGGGGAGAAAAGCAAGAGGAGAAAGAGGGCACCGGGUGUUGGUGUUCCCCCGGACUGCCACGUGGAUCGGUUCAUUCAGUGGCAUCAAGGCUGGACCUGCUUGCAGCGGCUUUGGACACCUCGCCCACGGGAUGGAUGCAUUGCUGUACAACUCCCCAGUGGCCGGGAGAGCUUCUCCAGAUGCUCAUUGCCAACGGGGCUCCCCCAGAUUGUGGCGAUCUGGGAUGCUGUGUCUGAUUACAUCCUGGAACAGAUGAAGCUGGACAAGGGAGUCCUGGUCCCGGGACUCGGGCUCUUUGCUGCGGUCCGAGAGCAAUUCCACAGCAAAGAAGUGGCGGUGUCGGUCCGAAGACCUGUCUUCCAGCUGGACAUCGGGGUGCUGUGGCUGCAGGACCUCCAGUCGCCCACCGACAUCAUCCCCGACGAUGUCAAGAUUGAGCGGCUGAACUACCGGCAGCUCUCGCGAGCCACCGGCAUCUCGCUGCACGUGGUGCAGCGCUGCGUGCGAGAGACCGUCCUCUUGUACUGUCACCUCCUGAGGAACAAGGCGCACGUCUCAUUCGCCUUCAAGAACAUCGGCGUUAUGACAUACGAGGACGACUUCCUCUGCAUGAGGUUCUUGUCCAGCUGCAUUACAACGCUGGAGAGCAAUGCCAGCCUGACUGCACUGCUCCACACUAGAAUUUGGCCGGCCCGUUCUGCUGACUUCGGGUCAGAGACUACCGCUCAUGGAAUCCAGGUGUUGCCGAGGUUUCAGCUCGCUGUGAAAAAGAGCAGAGCAGAGGCCGCCGCAGAAAGGAACGCUGCAGUGGCGCGGAAGAUGAGUAGAGGGGGCACUGCCGGCAGGCUGCUACAGAAGCGGAAGACACUUCCCCCCUCCAUGCUGCUGCAAUACCAGGCAGGCUCAAGGCAGCAAGAUGUGGCAAAGAAGCCUUCUGCCAGCGUGCUCCCGCCGUGUGCAGGCAGCUCCCACGGGAGAAAGCAAGCAGGACAGAAGGAACCAUCUACUCCUGCCCAGACCAGCACUGCACUCCCUGCGACAGAGGACUCUAAGAGAGUGCUGCAGGAGCUCCGGGAAGUGUCUGCCCUGUGGAAUGAAGCAGACCGCACGUGGCCCGUGUACCAGCAGCAGGUAGAGCAAACGCGGGCAGAAAGAGCGGCAUGGGAAGGCUGGAGUGCAGGGGAGGACCAGCCUCCACUGCAGCGGUUUGCCAGUGCGAGCGUGUGGGCUCCGCGUCCUCCAGCCCAGCCCCGGGGACAGCAAGUGAGGAGGAGGUGGAGGAAGGAUGUGGAUCCUCCGCCGGGAAGUAAAAUGGGAACAGCGACCAAGCUGGCACUGCAUGCCGACCUCCUCUCCCCGCGAGCAGCUCAGGUGCUCCAAAGGUUGGAGCCCCACCUCCAUCAGCAAGAGGCUUUUGCUGACACCGCGGAAAGAAACCGGCAGAAGCUGGAGCUGAAGCGGCAGCUCCCCUGUGCUCGGUGCUCGUACCGCUCCAGAGGGGAAGGUGCUGGCAACAGUGCUGGAGCUGUCGGCAAGGGGGCUGGGAAGCUGUCCGGAUUUCCACCUGUGAAUGGCAAAUCGUAGAAUCAAAGACUUGUAGAAUGGCCUGGGUUGAAAAGGACCUUGAAGAUCAUCUAGUUUCCACCCCCCUGCAAUGUGCAGGGUUACCAGCCACCAGUCCGGGCUGCCCAGAGCCACAUCCAGCCUGGCCUUGAAUGCCUCCGGGGAUGGGGCAUCCACCACCUCUCGGCAGGCUGUUCCGGUGCGUCACCAGCCUCCGUGGAGUGAAGAACUCCCCCUAAUAUCUAACCAAAUUCUUCCCCCCUUUCUCAGUUGCAAACCAUUCCCCCUUGUCGUAUCACUGUCCACCCUCGUAUAAACAGCCGUUUCCCCUCCAGUUUAUUUCUUCCCUUCAAGCAUUGGAAGGCCGCAGUGAGGUCUCCCUGGAGCCUUCUCCUCUCCAAACUAAACAAGCCCAGUUCCAUCAACCUUUCUUCACAGGAGAGGUGCUCCAGCCCUCUGAUCAUCUUUGUGGCCCUCCUCUGGACUUGAUCCAACAGGUCUGCGUCUUUCCUGUACUGGGGGCCCCAGGCCUGGACGCAGAGUAUCCCAGAUAAAAAUAAAGAGAAUUGGCGUUCUU
ensembl:lncRNA